rnacentral:rRNA from 1 species
UGGGGAAUUUUUCACAAUGGGGGAAACCCUGAUGCAGCGACGCCGCGUGAUUUAGAAGGCCUUCGGGUUGUAAAAAUCUUUUGUAUAGGAAGAAAAUGACAGUACUAUACGAAUAAGGACCGGCUAAUUACGUGCCAGCAGCCGCGGUAAUACGUAAGGUCCGAGCGUUGUCCGGAAUCAUUGGGCGUAAAGGGUACGUAGGCGGGUAAGCAAGUUAGAAGUGAAAUCCUAUAGCUCAACUAUAGUAAGCUUUUAAAACUGCUCAUCUUGAGGUAUGGAAGGGAAAGUGGAAUUCCGAGUGUAGCGGUGAAAUGCGCAGAUAUUAGGAGGAAUACCGGUGGCGAAGGCGACUUUCUGGCCAUAACCUGACGCUGGGGUACGAAAGCGUGGGUAGCAAACAGG